AUUGAACGCUGGCGGCAGGCCUAACACAUGCAAGUCGAACGAGUGGCGGACGGGUGAGUAAUGUCUGGGAAACUGCCCGAUGGAGGGGGAUAACUACUGGAAACGGUAGCUAAUACCGCAUACCAUCGGAUGUGCCCAGAUGGGAUUAGCUAGUAGGUGGGGUAACGGCUCACCUAGGCGACGAUCCCUAGCUGGUCUGAGAGGAGGACCAGCCACGCUGGAAAGGAGACACGGUCCAGACUCCUCCGUGAGGCAGCGGUGGGGAAGAUUGCACAAUGGGCGCAAGCCUGAUGAAGAAAUGCCGCGUAUAUGAAGAAGGCCUUCGGGUUGUAAAGUACUUUCAGCGAGGAGGCGUUACUCGCAGAAGAAGCACCGGCUAACUCCGUGCCAGCAGCCGCGGUAAUUC
rnacentral:rRNA from 1 species